rnacentral:rRNA from 1 species
UACGAAGGGGGCUAGCGUUGCUCGGAAUCACUGGGCGUAAAGGGUGCGUAGGCGUGUCUUUAAGUCAGGGGUGAAAUCCUGGAGCUCAACUCCAGAACUGCCUUUGAUACUGAAGAUCUUGAGUUCGGGAGAGGUGAGUGGAACUGCGAGUGUAGAGGUGAAAUUCGUAGAUAUUCGCAAGAACACCAGUGGCGAAGGCGGCUCACUGGCCCGGUACUGACGCUGAGGUGCGAAAGCGUGGGGAGCAAACAGG